AGUUACAUCAAAUCAACUUCAAUGAGAGGAGAUAAGAAAAAGAAAGCCUACAGUACGUAGACACUCUCUCGCUGCCCGACUUUUAAUCCAAUUAGGAGCUCAACAAUGGAAGCCAAGUAAAUGAUUCCAAGAAAGACUUGGCUGACAUUAAAAAAAAAAAAAAAUUGGUUUUCUUCCUACUCAGAGAUUGUUUACCUUGUCCGCAAACAACAAUAAGAAGGAAAAUAUGGAGCUCAUAAAUUGAAAGAUUCUCUUCAUUUGGCUGCAUGCGUGAUGUUAUAUAACUGUUUGAUGGUUGAGAAUUGGAACGUGCAUUUUGAGGAGCAAGCAAAUUUUUGGUUUUGGGGUGUAUAACACAGAAUGCCAAAGAGUUACAGGAUUAAUGCUGGUGUCUGUGCUUUGCUUAUUGCCUGUAUAGUUGUAUCAAUGAGUUCACUGCCUGCGGUUACAGAGGCGAGAAUUACCAAGUUUUCAUCUAUCCAAGAAAGUUUAGUGCGAGAGAGUACAAAAGGGAGCGUGGUACGACGUCGUCGAAGUCUGAGGGUAACUCCAGCGCGUCAGGCGACUCCAGUACCGGCUCCGCAAGUCAAUCAAAAUGGUUGAAGUUUGUUGGUGUUUUAAAUAUUGGAAGAUUUAGAUUGCAAAUUUCUGUGGGAUAUGGAAUUGUUGGUUCAUGCAAUUAUCGUAUUGGUGAUGAUGUUGGGACAAAAGGUCAAGCGUUGUUUGCGAAAUUUCAAGGUUUCAACUUGUCUUGUGUGUUGGGGUUGUAAGACCCUGACCCUGAAUCAGUCAAUUUUAUGUUGUUUUAAUAUCAAUAAAAUUUCUUUCCCCUUCAGGACAAUUAAA